CAAGAGUGGUGGUUUCUCUUCUCAAUGCCAGAUUUAUCAGGCUCCUCAGUCGACAAAAGCAUCACUCCAAGAAACAGGGAGGAAACCAUGAGAAGACAGGUUCCUGAGGUCAGAUCAAGAGAGGUCAGCAAAGAAAUCUAGAAGCAGAGAAGAUCCAUGCCCCAUUUUGACUAAAGCUCGGGAAGAACAUCACCUUUCAGUGACCCCCUGCACCAGAGUAGGAGAACUGAAACAUAAGUGAGAAGAAGACAUGGGGUACGCUGUGCUUAAGCAAAAGAAGAUAGUUGAGAGAAGGCCAGCUCGUAUGGGGCAUUAUCACACGCUCCCAGAGGUGGAAGGAUUCUUCUAGAUGAAGAUGACAGAUCAUACUGUCUAUGAAAAAAAUGGGGUUCCAGGGAAGAAAAUUCCAGGAGAAGUUCUACAGACCAUUUGGCUUCUUCCACAUGUGAAAGCUGAAAUGAUUUAAUGACAAAUCGACCUCCAGUUAACUCCAAGCUUACAUUAAGGACAUGAUUUACUACAAUUCUGCUUAUUGUGGAAAAACAUUAAUCAAGUUUUCUGUCUGACAGGUUUUAUUUCACUCCUUGAAAACAAAGCUCCCUCUGGAGAAUUAGAACAAGACAUUUGAGGAUGGGAGGGAGCCAGAAAAUUAAGGAUUCAUCCUGCUGCAUUUCUUUUGCUGAACCUUCAUGAUGUGAAUAGGUAAGUCGAAUGCAAAGUGAGACACAGUUGGCAUUUCUUAGCAGGAGGUUAGGAACAGAGUGUGCUACUGCAUCAAGGUAACUUCAGUGAAACGGAAGUGUGUGACAGAGAUGGAGUAGGAGGUAGAAGACCCAAAUUCUAGACCCAGGGAUAUCACAUUUUGGGUAUGUGACCUUGGCCAAAUUCUCCAUAAAAUGAUCCUGAAUGUAAGUGAAUGUAAGUGUAUCUGGAUAACUACACAAUCAUAAAUGUAAACUAUCUCAAAGUUACUAGGAAAAAAAUUCUGGAGAAACCAGAACCUGCAAAAAAGGCCUAUCUGAGGGCUCCAGGAUUUUUACAGCCAUGAUUCUGUGGGGGUGGGGUAGGGAUAGUGCAGAGCCUUCUUCUCUGAGAGAGCUUUCCCACCCUGUGAAGUUUUUGAGGCAUCAGCCACUCCUGGGGCACCGACCCCUAAUCCACUGGAUCCCACAAAGUCCUGGGGUUACCUGUCGCUAGUAAAAUGGUGGGAGAUCCUGGCCCUGGGCCUCCACGUGAUGUUGCUGUUGAGCUCUGGUCUUUGACUUAAUUGCCUGGCCUGCUGCCCCUGCACUUGGCUAUGCUGGCCCAGUGUCCCCCAUGUCUGCUGUGUCCUCUCCAGCACCCUUGUGGCUGUUCCUGACAUGGGACACUGUCCCUCUCUGUCCCUCUGCCCUUUAUUUUUUCACAGAUCACUGGGGAUCGCACAAUGAAGCAAAAUAUGUUUCUGUGGCUUGUGAAGAGUCCAAUCUUUAUAACUUUUCUCCCAACUCCCAAGAAUAGUCAGCAAGCCUUUCCUUAGAAAUAGUAAGCCAACACUACGGUUGGAUUUUUCGUAUGUUGUAAUUUAUUAAAUGAUCAAUAAUUCUCCCAAUUUUGUCCCCCAGUAGAAUUUCUGAUAUCUGAAUUGGAUAGUUAAGGUGUCCAGAAUGUACAUAAUUUGAAUGAAGCUCUCCCAGUCAUUCUGGUAUUCUAUCUCUUCUUUUCCUUCUAAGCAUAAGGAAGCAGGCCAUUUUUAAAAAAGUUUUUUAAAUUUAUUUUUUAGGUGUAGAUGGACACAACACAAUGAAUUUAUUUUUAUGUGGUGCUGAGGAUCGAACCCGGGUCCCGCCCGCGCUAGGUGAGCGCUCUACCGCUGAGCCACAAUCCCAGCCCAAGCUACAAUCCUGAUCUUUUUUUUAAACUUAGCAACUUUUUAAAGAUUGCUUUUAUUUGAGGCUUUAAUCUCUCUUUCUAAAAUUGGGAGGAACUGUAAUAAAAUACAUUUUUGCUCACGUGAUCUUUUCCCAUCUUAGGUUAUUCCUCCAGAAUGUCAAACUCUCUCCUAAGACCACAGCUACCUCCACAGUUCAAGCCCUGGGCAACUGAUGAGCCUCCAUGUGGUCUUUCCAUGUCGACUCUUGUUCUUCUUAGCCUUUCUUCAUACUGCAGCUAGAGGGGUCUUUUUAAAAAAUCUGAUCAGUUCUCAUCCCACUGAAAACUCUUCUGUUGCUCUUAAGAAAGAUUCUCUCUCUUUAACAUAGAUAAGUGUUCUUCAAAUCUCAGAGAAUUAUUAUUCUUUGAAAAAUUGUUAAAACUUGCCGGUGACAUCAUCUUGAAAAGUAAGUAGUUCUGUAUGUUCCCCCCAUUCCUUAUUUUCUUUUACAUUUGCAGAUUUUCUUCCUUCUUUCUGAAUUCAGCAAGCAUGUUUUCACUUAUAUAUAGAAUCUUGCAUUUCUAUAGGUUAUAUAAAUCUUUGUAUUAAUUUGGUGUUAACUUGUAUUAACUUAAUAAAUCAUCUGACCACUUGUUCCUAAGCUUCAAUGAUGCUGACACCUCAUCCAAGCCUUGCCUGCUCUUUGUUGCAUCAGGGUAGAUGCUUGCCUUCUGUUCUGGAACCCUCUUUCCCGUACUUCCUUCUGUCACCAAUUAUAAAUCAUCAUGUUGAGUUUAAGUACACCUCUUCAUUAGUAUGGGGAGCCCAUGAUAACCACUCAGCGGUGUGAGAUUUAUUUUUAAUGAGUAGUGUAUGGUAGCAAUCAAAGUUACACUUUUAUCUUUUGUAUUUGUCCAUAUGGGAAGCCAGUCUUGGAGCACUGUGGAUAGAGCAGCCCACCUCCUCUCCCUAUGCAGACAUCCUUCCCAUGUUUCUUCAUUCUGGUAUGUGCCUAAGUCUGCACCUAUGUUUUCCAUUCUCUUUUACUCGAUUUUUAAAUCUACUCUUGCACCAUUACUGCACUGAGUUAAUUACCAUACAACUUUAUAAUCAAUCUUUGUAUCUUACAAGGAGAGUCCCUGUCAGCCCUUACUAAUUCAUCUUCAGAUUUAUCUUUGCUAUUCAUGGCCCUUGAUAUUCAUUAGACUUCUAGGAUCACUUUUUCAAAUUCUGUAAGUAGAACUUGCUGAUUUUAAUUGGAAUUGCAUGGAAUAUUACGGAUAAAUUUUGGGCAAUCUUACAUUUUCCGAUUUUCAUCAAGGAAGUAUGCAUAUAUUUCUAUUUUAUAUAAAUCUCUUAUGCCCUUCAAGAAAAUAUUAUAGUAUUCUCCAUAAAGACCUAAAGCAUCUCUAAUAAAUGUAUUCCUAGGUUUCUUAUGAACUGAUACUGUGAAAGGUAUGUUUUAAAUUUAUCUUUUAAUUGUUGAUGUAUAGGAAUGAAUUCAUUUUUCAUAAGGUAAUCUAGUAUUUAGCAACUUUAGUGAAAUCUUAAUAACUCAAGUUUUUUUCUUUAAAUUUGCUUAGGUUUUCUAUGGAGAUAUUAAUUUUGAGUACAAAUAAAGAAAGUUCUAUUUUCUUUACCUGUCCUUUUAAUAGUUACCUAUUUAAUAAAUAUUGUGCUAACUGGGACUUCCAAAAUAAUAAUGUUGAAUAAAAUUGACAUGGUAGAUAUUCUUGUCAGGUCUCACCAUUAAAUACAACAUCUGCCCUUAGGGUUUUUUUUAUGAUUUUCUUUCUCAGGCUAAAGAAACCUGUCAUAGUUUCUUAUUAUGAAUUUUUAUUGAAUUUUACCAAAUUCUUUCUCUAUACCUAUAAAGAAGUAAGAUAGAGAUUGUUCCUUCUUUUUCUAUUUACUGAGUUAGGAUGCAUGAGAGAAUUAUUAUUCUUUGAAGAAUUGUUAAAAUAUGCCUGUAACAUCAACUUGACUUUAAGUAGUUCUAUAUGUUCACCUACCCCAUUCCUUAUUUUCUUUUACACCUGCAGAUUUUCUUCCUUCUUUCUGAAUUCAGUAUGCAUGUUUUCACUUUUAUAUAGAAUCUUGCAUUUCUACAGGUUAUAUAAGUCUUUGUAUUAACUUGGUUUUCCAGCUUUCUAAAAUCAGAAAUCCUAAAUUAUUUCUUUAAGAAAAAAUAUUUUAAUUACUUUUGUAAAUGAGUCCCGUAUUACAUAUUCUUGCUAGUGAGUGCUGACAGAGAAGGCAUAUUUGCAUUCUUUUCCCGUCAGUUCUCUAAAGUCCUCACUAAAUACCCAGAAUAUUCCAGAUUCAGUAGUCUAUAACUGCAAAGUACUAUUUUAUUUUAUUUUGUAUUAAAAAUGUAGAGGAUUUCUAGGCUCAUUGUAUGGACUAUCAGAAAUUGAUGCUUCUUCAGUAUUACCCAGUAGACUUUUUGGAAUCCCCAAGGAAUAUACCUAUACAAAUAGCUCUUUUCUUAUUGAAUUGCUCCUGCAGCCAUGUUCUGAACCACCGCUUCUUCAGAGCCAGGAAAGUGUCCUCCCAGCACCUCAUGAUGCAUGUUGUACUCCUCUCAGGUUUGACACCAUUCUGUCUCAUAAUUCCCAAGGUAAAAUUAAGAACAGCCUCUUGUAUUUAACAAAAUGUAUUGGUGAGAAUCUAGAGAAGAUGUUCAAGUGACUUCCAAUGGAAAGAAAAUUAGAUUGUCAUCAGACUUUUCAAAAAGUAAUAUACAAUAUACUUAAGAUACUCAAAGAAGUAAUUAAGUAAUAUACUUAAGAUACUCAAAGAAAAAUAAGGUGAGCCAAAAGUUUUAUAACCAGCCAAACUGGCUUUCAAAACUAAAGGCUGUAGACAAAUCAUUAUCAACAUCUGAGAAUUCAGAGACUCUUUUCCCCUUAAUCCUUUGCUGUGAAAUCUGCUGGAGAACAAACUUCAGACAUUCUUCAAAUAGAGAUAGUUACAUGAAUACACGUAACGAGCAUGAAAUUCAUAGCCACUUACAGAGCUAAGUUGAGGUUAAAGUUUAAAAGACAAGCUUAUAGUGCAUAAUAGUUAUAUGCUCUGAUAAUAUAAUUAUAGAAUCACUAAAAAUGCAAAUAGAAUGGGUAGAGCAUAUACAUAGUUUUGAAAUUGUUUUCAGUAAUCCUUUGGUGGAGGGUAUUGAUAUAGGUAUUGUGAGACAACGAUUAUGUACAUAAUGAAGAAGAAAACAAAUGAUAGUUGUGGCCUAUUCUAACUCUAUAAUACAUUGUCUACCUGAGAACCAAGAUUCAUAAUAUGGAGGAAAGAAGAUACAGAUUAAACAGAAGAGGUUAAGUAAAAACUCACUUGUCCUGAAGUUGAAUUGGAUGAGGUUAUCAUUCAUAUUUAUACUUAUGAAUAUAUAGGUAAGUGUUCAUGGGUAUUCAAGAUGUCCUCAUUUCAAGGUGGCAAUCUAGGUACUGGGAAUCUCUCUCAGUUCUGGACAUGUUCACUGAAAAUUUUUGGAAACAAGCGUUCAACUCAGUAACAGAAAGCAUCCCUAACACCCAGAAUAUUAUUUGAAAUGAAGGUUUCUUGGUGAUACAACUAAUUUUGAGGCAAAAGCAGGAAAUAUACAAAUUGAUCACAGAAUGUGUUGUUAUAUCCCAAGAAUCAUGCCAAAAGCCAUCAAUUUAAAGGAACUUCCUAUUCAUCUAUUGAAGGGCACCUAGGUUGGUUCCACAGUUGAGCUGUUGUGAAUUGUGCUGCUAUAAACAUUGAUGUGGUUGUGUUCCUGUAGUAUACUGUUUUUAAGUCCAUUGGGUAUAGACUGAGAAGAGAGAUAUACCUGGGUCAAAUUGUGGUUCCAUUCCAAAUUUUCCAAGAAAUCUCCAUAGGAAUGGAUGAAAAAAAGGUGGCAUAUAUACAUAAUGGAAUAGUACUCAGCAAUAAAAGAGAAUAAAAUCAUGGAAUUUGCAGGUAAAUGGAUGGAGUUAGAGAAGAUAAUGCUAAGUGAAGUUAGCUAAUCCCCCAAAACCAAAUGCAGAAGUUUUCUUUGAUAUAAGGAGGCUGAUUCAUAGUUGGAUAGGGAGCGGAAGCAUGGGAGGAAUAGAUGAACUCUAGAUAGGGCAGAGGAAUUGGAGGGGAAGGGAGGAGGCAUGGGGUUAUUAAUGAUGGUGGAAUGUGAUGAUCAUUAUUAUCCAAAGUACAGGUAUAAAGACAUGAAUUGGUGUGAAUAUACUGUGUAUACAACCAGUGAUAUGAAAAAUUGUGUUCUAUAUGUGUAAUACGAAUUGUAAUGCAUUCUGCUGUCAUAUAUAAAUUAACAGUAAAUAAAAAAAUUUAAAAAAAAACAAAGGUCCUUUCUAUGGCCAGAAUGGAGCCAUUCAAGUUUUAAUAAAGAGCUGGGCACAGUGGCACAUACCUGUAAUCCCAGUGACUCAGAAUGCUGAGGCAUGAGGAUGGUGAGUUCAAAGCCAGCCUUAGCAAUUUAGAGAAGUUCCAAGUAACUCAGUGAGACCUGUCUCCAGAUGAAAUAUAAAAAAGGGUUGAGGAUGUGGCUCAGUGGUUAAGCACCCUGGGUACAAAACAAAAAGUUUAAUGAAGACAUUAAAAGCAAUGGAUUGAUACAUAUCAAAUAUAUUUAAAUCCAUAAAUUUAUAGUAAUUUAAAAAAAUGAUUGGUCAUAUUUGGAGAAGGAUUUGGGAACCAACUCAUUAUUAUGAAAACUAAUAAAGGGGAAAAUCAAUUACUCAUUAGGUCUCCCUAUAUGAAUUUUAUUUCAGUAACCAAAUAGUAGAUGAGUAAAGUGACCCUUCAUAGAAAGAUUUCAGUUAAUUAAGAAUGAAUGAAAUCUCCACCUUACAGCUCCUAUUCAAACCACAGAUCUAAACACUGAGCAGCAGUAGCUGCCAACCUUACCAAAGGAAAGGCAACCAGUCUAGGCUUCCUGAUGAAACAACACAGUAUCACCAAUGGUCUUAUCAAAGCAAAUAAACCUGAAUCAGAUGGAACUACCAAUUGACAGGGAACGCAGAGGACAGAGGAACACGUUAAACUCCACCACAGAGAAGCUCUGACGAUCCAACAUUUCAACAAAUACCUUGCAAAGGAUAAAAGGGACAUGGGGCAAAACUUGAGAUUAAAAGACAAAUUUUAAAACAAUCAAAAUUAAACUACAGUGUUUUGGGGUGCUCAAUUGAAUGGUAAAACUACUUGUUAAAAAGGGAAGUGACUUCAAUAAAAUUAGGAUAAUGGUUUCUUUUAGGGAAGAGGGUCCCAGCAUGUGAAGGGCUUCUUAGGUAGCUAGCAAAGUUCUGUUUCUUGACUUGGUGGUGAUUACAAGAGGAAAUGCCUCUAAUGAUUCAGUGAAGUAGAAUUUUGUAUCAUGGAGUUGUCUGUAUUUAUGCUUCAUUUCAUAGUGAAAAAUAUUUUUAAAAAUCAUCUGAACAUGCUUAGGGAAUAAUAGUACCACCAUUCAAACUAUGACUAAGUGCUAUUAAAACUAAUUAACUUUCAAGAUCACAAGCCAACACCUAAAUCUCGGCAUUCUUGUCCAGCUCCUACUGGGUUUUAAGAAAUAAAAACUAGUUUGAGUCCCACACAACCAAAUAACCAAGCCUCUUUAACCUUCCACCUCCUGUUCUUUCAUGUCAGCAAGAGGAAGUAGUCUGUCCUUUCCCUGGAAAAAAGCCUACUCAUUCAUCCUUGCCCUGGAAUGAUUGACACUGGGAACAUCCAGUCCCUUUUUGAAAAAUAUCCACUUCCAUUUACAAGGUGGAAUCUGGCUUCAGGGUAUCAGAAAAAAAAAAAGAUAAUAAUAAUGGCUGUUGAUGUAUUUCCCCACAUCUGGGUCAUUCAAUAUAAACAACAGCAUGUGAGAGAUGCCAUCACUUGAGUCCAAUCAUAUACUUAAGAAAAAUCAUUUAUUUACCUGUUCAAAAGAAUAUUCAGACUAAAGCUAACUUUAUGUCGUAACCAAAGCAUUAUCUUUCUAUUCUGAAAUGCAUAUUAAGAUGUUUAAUGCACUGCUUCUCCUUUAAAAUAACUCCCCGUUGGGGAUUUCCCUCCCUCAAAUCCUAUCUUGAGAUUUUCUGAAAAUAAGUUCUCAGAACAAAGGAAAUCUCAAAUUUUAUAAGUAAGAAACUCUAACAGCCCUCAGAAGAGAGUUUCCUCCAUUCACUCCUAUAGUCACAAACUGGAUAAAGUCCUAAGUUUUAUCUUUAUCAGGUACUCAUUUUAACUAAUCCCAGUCAUCGAUUUGAAAAAAUUUCUAUCAUUUAGCCCUUAGCUCUGUGUAUAAAUCUUGUAACCUCCUCUAAUUUUCCCAGAGUAAUUAUGACAUGGUGUGAAUCCAUCCUACAGGAAACAUUUUCCCCUUUGUUUGUUCUCACCCUUUACCAUUGUCUGUGAUAGAAACCACAAGCUGGCCACAACAUCCACUCUUUUUUCUCCUUCCUGGAGCCGAGGCUGAAGUAGAUUUUUCUAUUUUUGUUGCACUUAUUCCAGGGGACUAAGUUCUCACCAAUGGAAACUCAACAAAAAAAUUCUCCACUUACAGAAUUUGCCCAUUAAAACCUCCCACUCAUGCUGUCCAGCUCUUUCCUCUUUUUGGCCAGCUGGACUUGUGACCUGAAGGAAACCUUGGCAACUGAGGAUGGAACAUGGCAAAUUCACUGUCCCAUUCCAAUCCCUGAAGACCACAGUGUGCUGCUGCUGACCUGAACUGCCUCCUUGAGAGAGAAAUACACUGAUAUUUCAGCUGUUGACUUUUUAAGGGUUUCUUUGCUUGUUACCUUCCUAAUCAAUAUGGGAAGAGGCACCUAAAAGAGAAUACCAUAAACACACACACACACACACACACACACACACACACACACACCUGAAGAACACAGUGUUGGCUUCUUGUGUGGCCUGAAGGCAGAUAGGAGAUGGCUAUCAAAGGCUAGAAAGCCAGAGCCCCAAGUUAACCAUGAAAAACACUUUUAAAACACUUCAUCUCUGAUAGCUUGGAAAGUAGACCAAGAACUUACUGAGUCUGAAGCUCUAGGGAACAUAGCUGGUAAGAGUAGGAAUGCUAGUGUGCGAGGUUGAAAGCUGUGGCUUUUAGCCCAGUAAUGCAAAAAAGAGACGAGCUCAGGCAAAAAUUAACUAGAUUGUCUACUGAAACAGAACAAUCACUAAAAUAAUAAUAAUGGGACAGCCACAAUAAUAAUGAUGAUAACAAUCACAACAAUAGUAAUAAUUCUUCAAGACUGCUCUGGGCUGGGAAAAAAAAAAAAAACACUGAUGGUUUGUAUAGCUCAAACAGUAGAAGAUAAGAUUUAUAGGUUCAAAGAAUAAAAGGAGAUCCAGCCCAGUGGCAAAGAUAAAUAUCAAGAGCGUUGGCACCCAAGCCUGUUUCAGACGUCAGUGAUGGUUUGAUCAAGGAAGACAAACCUCAGAAAAGAUCAAGAAAAUACUUUGGGGUUUAUUUGCUAGCACAUGAAACAGAAUGGAAAUAAGUAGGUCAGAAGCCCAUCAUAUUUUUGAAAAAACAGUAGUGCCCCAGGAAACCACAAGCUUGAAUCUGUAAAUCACCCUCAUGCAACAGCAGAGAGUGAGCUCUGAAAGGUGUUAGCUCCUAAACCCACAUUUCCCCAUGUCCACCUCUUAUGUGGCCAUGGAGAAUAGCGGACAAGAUUGUUCUCCAGGAGGACAGAGUCAAGGGCCACAGAGAAUGCAGGCAAGGAAGUACCUUGCUCAGGACGACACUCGGUACAUUGACAUUUUAUUCUAGGGUUUGGAGGGUCUUUGCAAUACCUACCCAGCAGGAGUUCAGUGCUAUGGCCCAGGACUGCUGUGGGCAUUUCUAUUCUUGUCCGCUUUUGUAUAUUGGGUAGGCAGUUGGGCCCGGAUAACUUGUCUUUUAGUUCACAGGGUGCCAGAUCUUGAGGAACCACGUCUGGACCUCAAGAAGAGAUCUGAACACCAUCUGGAGACCCCAGACUUUGAUAUAGAUAUAAUAACUGGAGACAUUUUUUUUUUCAUGAGAAAUAGGCGAAUAUGGCUUAAUAAGGGAUGAUAGUGGCCCAAGGGACCAACUAUGUUAGAGACGCUAGUUGUCUACCAAAAAUACAUUCUUCUCUUCUUUCUGGGCACCCAGCUGGACUGCAUUUCUCAGCCUCUCCUGCAGGGAAGUGACUAAGUUUUCUUCAAUGGAAUAUGAUUACAGGGAUAAAUGGCACUUCUACUCUUGGCCCAUAACAGUCUCUCAUACUUGUCCCAGUAUGUCCCUACCUUUUACUUGCUAACAGAAGUGGCAAAGCCUGGAAUGACCUCUGGGUACCACAAGCCAAGAAUGACACAGCCAUCAUCACCUGGGUCUUUAAUUGACUGUGAAGGAGCUCUCCUAUCAGUCCAAAUCCUAUUAUAAUGACUUCUGAUUUUUUAAGCCACAGAAAUUUGGAUUUUAUUUUAACAGCAGUGUAGCAUAAUCUAAUAGAUUCCAUUAAAAAUAGCAAUUCCUUUUUUUUUAACAGAAUUAACUGUUUCAAGAAAGGCUACAGUUCACACAUUGAAUUGAAAACCUUGACAUUGUCCCUAUUGGCCAGAUGAGAUUGCGUGAUCCCUUCUCAAGACUCCUACCUGGAAUAACUACAAUCCUAAUCAUUUUACUCCUCUUUUGCCUCUUCUCUACCCCUUCCCGGACCCCUCUGUUGUGCUCUCCUGGCAAAACCCCAGCUCUGGAUUCACCCAAUCCUACCUCCUCCCAUGCUUGCAAGCUUCCCACGGCUGGUUCCACUUUAAAUUCAGGAUUGCUGACGUAGUACUGAUAGCCACAGUACUGUCCCAACAAUCUCACUGCAUUCCCUCAGUUCAUUCAUUCAUCGAAUCCCACAUACAGAUUUUCAGAUGUUUUUGUCUCUCUACAAUAAUCUCCAGUUCCUUUCCCUUCCUCCUCACUGUUAGCUGAUGAGUUUGAAUUCUACCUCAUUAAGAAAAUAGAAGCCAUCAGGGCGAGUUUCCUUUAGCUCCCACCAUCUUCUCCUCGACUGCCUACCUGCAUCUGUUCCUGUGUAAUGUGCCUUCCUUCUUGGGUGAAUUAUCUGUUUUUUCUAAAGCCAAAACCUCCAUAUGUGCACUGGGCACCAUUUCCUCUCAUCUACUGAAGGCUCUUACUCUAAAAACUCUCUCCUCUUUUUUGCACCAUCAAAAUUUCUCUCUGAAUUGGACGUUUCCCAUCAACACACAAGGCACCUGGAAAUCCUCUCAUGUUUCAAAAAGAGUCAAAAGAACUUGACUCCACCUUGCCACCAACUUGUUAGAGUAGAUGGUGGCCCGUUACGGGGAGCCCCGGGACACUCUGGGGUAAGUGAUGAAAAAAAGCUGCCCGUCCAUAGAUAGGACAGGAGCAAAUCUGCUCGUCCCUAGGCAGAUAGGGCGAGAGGAAAAAUGGCCAUUUCGAGAAAAUGGAGAAGAUUGAUACAGUAUGUUUGUGUCUUGUUUUGUCUCAGUAUAUUGUAUUGUCUCUGUGAUGAAAACAUGGAAGGGGUGUUAAGUAAAUUGAUAAGGGAAAGAGGCACCCCAGUGGAACCAAGAAUAGUUAGGGCAUGUGUUGAUGGAAGCCCAGGAACUCUAGUCAGAAAGAAAAAGAAAGUUCAGAAGAAGAAAGAUUAUCAGGAAAAAAGUUACAGCGAAAGGCUAUUACUGAAUACUUUUCGUUACCGGAGGGUGCAUCAAUCGGCGCGGUGGCGGCUGCCACGUGCGCGAGCUGGUCAUGGCGCAGCAAGGGCUUUCCAAGCAGCUGCAAUCGGCUCUUCUCUGCCCCCCGCCCGGGGAGCGGGAUGCCACUGCGAGAGCCCAAAUCCAAACCUGUGCCGGGAAGCAGUUUGAGACCAGGACUCUCCCCAGGGCCAUCUGGGGCUGCCCAGGACGCUACAGCCAGCAAAAGACGCUACUGGCGUCCCUGGUGUUUGGUCAUUUCCAAGGCCAGUAACUACAAUGGUUCUCCCACACCUGGAAGCUAAUGAGUAAUGAGCACUAUUAAGGCUUAUUUCAAAUGUAAAAAACCUUGAGGUAAUGUACUAAAUUGUUCAGAAGGUUGUUUUCUUAGUAGAGUGCUACAGGAUUUUCUUUAGCCAUCUGGAGUUCCUGCCUUCGUCCCAGUGCCCAUAAAGACCAAGGUGGAAGAAUUUCCAGUGUUGCUGAGAACCGGAGGAGACUUCGGAUUAAGCUAGUUGCCUGCAGAACUUACCUGGACUGUGAUUUAAGCUACCUGCCUGCAGAAUUUACCUGGACUGUGAGUUAAUCUAUUUGAGACACUGCUUUACCUGGACUGAGACAACAAACUGUAAUCUACAACAAAUUGUAACUUGGUAUCUUUGCUAAUGGUGUCAUUGCUGGUAUAAUUUUUCCAAGGGCUUCUUGCAUGGAGCCAUCAAUUGGCUUGGUAUUGUGGCAUUUUGUAUCCUCCCUUUCUGUUUGUAGCAGGUUAUUUAUGGUGUUUCUGUCAAAACCACUAUGGUCGUUAUUUAAAUUAAACAAAAGGGAAAAAUGUUAGAGUCUGUAAACAAGUCAAAAUAAACGGCUUCCACUUCUGCUGUA